CGGAAGUCUACUGGACGAAUGCGGCAACGUUGCGAUAUUUCCUGCUUAAUAUUUUCAGAUAUGGGAAAAGCACUUAAGAUGACCCCACGUUUCAGGAACGUUAAAAUUAAGUUGGUGAGGAGGUCUAUUGCGGGCCCUGCAAAGUUUUCUUACCUCAGUCAAGGUCUUCCCCAGCCCAGCUACAAACAGACCCACUCUUGAGACGCUUCUAUUACAUCUCAACCGGCUGAACCUGAUGAUGCGACACCGAGCUGUUCUGAGAGUGCAUACAGUAAGGCAAAGAAGAGAGAGCUUCAUGCCUGGGAUGCAGUCAAGGAUGAGAUGCUUAAGGUGUCGUUUGAAUGUUCAGCAUCAGUCACUACCCAGUGUGUUGUCUGCCGAGAACAUGCUGAUUAUAGGUGCAUUGAGUGCAGCUCCACUGCAGUGUUUUGUGAGGUUUGCCUGAAGAGGAUUCACAGAAAUUUACUGCAUCUUCCUGAAAAGUGGAAUGCAAGAACAAUAGCAUACAGUCUUACAUUGCUAUUGCUAUACUUGCAUACAGACAGCAAACUCACAAGUGUUUACUAUGAGCCAUCCUCCCUGGGGUUAUUCUUAUAUUUACCUGAAGCCCAUGGCACCCAUGCUGUGUACACAAAGGACAUGAAGGUCAUUGUCAGCACAGGACGGCUCUGCACCGUUACAGACACCAUGUGUGCGUGUGAACCAGAAACCUGUACUCUGCUGAGAUAUGGGCUCUGACCAGCAACAGCCCACAAGCCCCAGACAGACAGCCUUCUCCAUCCCUCUGCUAGAGCUUUCUGUUUCUCUGUCACUGGAGUGUCAGGUUUCUGUUGAGGGUUUUUGCAACACCCCAUAUGCCAUUUUGGCAUCACCACUUCCGACAAAGAAGUUUGGUUGAUAUUUGCCCACAGUUAAAUGAUGGAACCAUAUGCCCAGCAUGUCCAAAGGCAGAUGGAGAUAUGAUUGUCACAUUGGAUGCAAACUUUGGCCUUGUGAGGAAGCAAAGCUCAGUACAAGUGCGGUUGAUCCAUUACACGGAACCCGCAUGUUUAGAGGAAUACCUGCUAUCACAUCUUGACAGCUCAAAGCCUCAAGAGGACUGCAGUAAGCUGCUCUCAUUCAAGGUCUCCAACAGCUGGAAAGAAAACGACAUCAAGCCACUGUGAUGUUUCACCCACAUGUACCAGACAUUAUAGACAUAUAAUAUAAAAUAAUUAUGAUAUA